CCUUAUCUUCUUUCUGGCUUAUCUUGUCCUCCCCUUCUCCUGUGGAUCCAGUGCUAACACUUCUUCCUCACGAGUAGAUUUACUUCCCCUACUUCGUUACACAUCUUACUGUGCACUCACCACCGUCGACCGGAGUCAAGAAUGAUGGUGCUACAGUAUGCAGCCGUUGCUGCCAAGACCGGCGGCUAGCAGAUGGGCAGGGGUCUAUGGCCUCGUCUACGAUGACUCGGUUUGCGUGGCGGCGUGGGCGGACGGCAAGAUGGCUGUCACCGAGCUUUGGGCGGAAGGCAAGAAGGCUGUUGAGCUAUUGGAGCUGGAAUAGAUGAUGUUCGAAGUCGCUUGCUGCUUCGUUGGGUGCUUGGUGAAGCUGAUGAUACCUUCUAAUUUUGUAGGAGAGGGGUAACAAAUUCUUGCUGCUAUGAACAUAUAUCUGGUAUCUCAUUUGUUGAAUGAGAGCCCAACAAAUUCAUGAAGCUAGUGUCAGUAUAGGACUCCAUGGAGAUGGCGCUUUCUGAAGUGAAGUGCGUGAGUAGCUACCAAACGUUGUUAGAGAAUUAUUGAUAUGGGGUUGUUCCUUUGGCUUUUAGGAAUGAUUUUAAAUUUACUGAA